rnacentral:lncRNA from 10 species
AAACUAGAGAGAGAUCUUGCAAGUUUGAGAAGGACAGUGGAAAAUGUGUUCACCACCAGCCCACCAGCCCACCAGCCCAGCUCUUCCACUCCUAGACAAGAUCCCAGAGAACUCUUCCACACGAGCCAGGAGACAUUUACAAGAAUGUUCAUGCAGCGCCAUUUGCAGCAAACAAUAAAGGACACGAAUGUCCAUUGACAGAAUGGCUAAAUUG